AUUGAACGCUGGCGGCAGGCCUAACACAUGCAAGUCGAGCGAGCGGCGGACGGGAGAGAAAUGCCUGGGAAUUGCCCAGUCGGGGGGGAUAACAGUUGGAAACGACUGAUAAUCCCGCAUAAGAUUGGAUUGCCCAGGUGGGAUGGGCGAGUGGGUGGGGUAAUGGCUCACCAAGGCAACGAUCCCUAGCUGGUCUGAGAGGAUGAUCAGCCACACGGGAACUUAUACACGGUCCAGACUCCUACGGGAGGCGGCAGGGGGGAAUAUUGCACAAUGGGGGAACCCCUGAUGCAGCCAUGCCGCGGGUGUGAAGAAGGCCUUCGGGUUGUAAAGCACUUUCAGCGGGGAGGCGUUACUCGCAGAAGAAGCACCGGCUAACUCCGUGCCAGCAGCCGCGGUAAUAC
rnacentral:rRNA from 1 species